rnacentral:rRNA from 1 species
GAUGAACGCUGGCGGCGUGCUUAACACAUGCAAGUCGAACGAAGCACCUCUCCCGAAGAUUGACACAGCUUGCUGUAGAUUGAUUCAUUUGAGGUGACUGAGUGGCGGACGGGUGAGUAACGCGUGGGUAACCUGCCUCAUAGAGGGGGACAACAGUUGGAAACGACUGCUAAUACCGCAUAGUAAGACGAAUUCGCAUGUUUUCUUCUUGAAAGAUUUAUCGCUAUGAGAUGGACCCGCGUCUGAUUAGCUAGUUGGUAAGGUAACGGCUUACCAAGGCGACGAUCAGUAGCCGGCUUGAGAGAGUGAACGGCCACAUUGGGACUGAGACACGGCCCAAACUCCUACGGGAGGCAGCAGUGGGGAAUAUUGCACAAUGGGGGAAACCCUGAUGCAGCGACGCCGCGUGAGUGAAGAAGUAUUUCGGUAUGUAAAGCUCUAUCAGCAGGGAAGAUAAUGACGGUACCUGACUAAGAAGCCCCGGCUAACUACGUG